GGAGGCUCAAUGAUAGAAUAUCUGUUCUGCAUGCAGAAUGUCCCAGGUUCAAUCCCUGGCAUCUUCA